GUUUUAUUUUAGAGCCUUUCGGCCAAUGAACAUUCAUAUUUCAGUAAAGAGUUUGUAUAGAAUGAAAGAGAACUUUCGCUCUCUUUCACAAAGGUGCACAGGUGUUGAAAUGGAUUAAGGAGACCGAGCACAUGCGAGUUAACGCCAGCAUCAGAAUCUCCAAGUUUCAUUAAUGAUCCUUCCGCAGGUUCACCUACGGAAA
rnacentral:misc_RNA from 1 species